GUUUUAACUAACAAAAAUCCCUAUCAGGGAUUGAAAC
rfam:Nostoc sp. PCC 7120 DNA, complete genome.